rnacentral:misc_RNA from 1 species
GAUGAAGAACGUAGCGAAAUGCGAUAAGUAAUGUGAAUUGCAGAAUUCAGUGAAUCAUCGAAUCUUUGAACGCACAUUGCGCCCUUUGGCAUUCCGAAGGGCACACCUGUCCGAGCGCCGUCGCACAACUGAGGCGCAGCCUUGCGUUGGCGGGCGACUUGUGAGUAGCGAGUCGCAGCCCAAACGAGACGGCGCCGCGCCGCGGCCGACGAAGCACGAAAGCGGAAGUCGACGCGGAGGCGGUUGCCUGUAGGAAGACACAGCUUGGCCUCGGAUCAGGUGGGGAUACCCGCUGAACUUAAGCAUAUCAAUAAGCGGAGGA